UUUACCGAAAUACUAAUUUUACAAAUUACCGAAAUACCAAUUUUGCCCAUUUGUAAAAAGUAAAACCUUCGAUGGCGUUCUCUCUGCACCCUUCCCCAUCGCUCUCUCCCUCGUGACGACUGCGCUCUUGGAUUGGAAUCUUUUGUGGCUUUGAUUAAAUGGAGUGAUAGCAUUCGGGUACAUGAUAUGGUAGGCUUUUGGUGACUUCUGACAAGCGGCAUGCAUAAAAGGUUUAGGCUGUAUCUAUGUGGUCCAUGUGAAGGUACCUCAAGCCAUCCAACCUUCUUUUAUGAUCAAGCUACUGCCUACUUAUUGUUCACAUUAAACCCAGUGUUGGAAACGUAGGAAGCUGUGGCAGUGUCUUGUCCAUAAGUGCAUGAAGAAUACAUCUAUGGGAGGGAGAGGGGGAGGGAGAGGGAGAGAGUUUAUAACAGUAAUCGAUCUUGUUGAGGAUUGUUCAGUUCAUGAACUUGAUUAGCUUUGAGUGGAAAAUGCUUUCUUGUUCAUGUCCCAUUUCAAGGAACCCACAAAAUGAAAAGAUGCUCUUAACAGGAUGUCAAAUUUUGAGUUAGUAGAUGCCUUAUGUUAUGCUUAUGACAAUGUGCUCUUGUUUAUUGUCUUUAAACUCAAAUUGCAUUUUUUUA